rnacentral:rRNA from 1 species
CAGAGUUUGAUCCUGGCUCAGAACGAACGCUGGCGGCAGGCUUAACACAUGCAAGUCGAGCGCCCCGCAAGGGGAGCGGCAGACGGGUGAGUAACGCGUGGGAACGUACCUUUUGCUACGGAAUAACUCAGGGAAACUUGUGCUAAUACCGUAUGUGCCCGAAAGGGGAAAGAUUUAUCGGCAAAGGAUCGGCCCGCGUUGGAUUAGCUAGUUGGUGAGGUAAAGGCUCACCAAGGCGACGAUCCAUAGCUGGUCUGAGAGGAUGAUCAGCCACACUGGGACUGAGACACGGCCCAGACUCCUACGGGAGGCAGCAGUGGGGAAUAUUGGACAAUGGGCGCAAGCCUGAUCCAGCCAUGCCGCGUGAGUGAUGAAGGCCCUAGGGUUGUAAAGCUCUUUCACCGGUGAAGAUAAUGACGU